AGUUACAAGGGGAUAUUCAGAAUUUGAAAGAAAAACUGGUAAAUAAAGACAGGCAGAUUGCAGAUAUGCAGGCAAACCAAAACAGAAUGUAUGCAGAGAAUGAUAGUCUAAUGCUCAAGAGUGAAAAUGGCAGAACAGACAGCAGCAAGGGCAAGGGCUUCCCUACCAAAGACAGCAGAAACUGAAACUUUAGCCGAAGUAGCAGACCAUAUGACGGUGGCAGUUGUGGAAUAUACAAACCAGAGUGUGUAUAUUGGAGAAAUGGAGGGAAA